CCGACCUUAGCUCAGUUGGUAGAGCGGAGGACUGUAGUAGACGCUGAUUAUCCUUAGGUCACUGGUUCGAAUCCGGUAGGUCGGA
rnacentral:tRNA from 1 species